UCUCAGUUCAGCCCCUGAGAAGUCCUGAGGUCUCUCUCACACAGAAAAAGGCUGAGGAUCCCGAGCUGACAGGAGGCGUCAGCAAGGCCAAGAAGCAGAGGCCAGAGGGCUAUGUGGCCCAGUGCCCCGAUUCCAGCGCCCCGAUCUCUGAGAGCACAACAGGCUUCAGGAACUUGGCAAAGCGAGAGGCACCGGCCCAGAGACCCCCGCAACCCCUGGACGUUUCCCUCUGUGCUGAGGGAGCCUCCCUGGGGAAUCCCUCGCCUAGCCUCUUCUUAUCAGAGUGAGAGACCAAGUCCAGAGAGGGGAAGUGACUUGGCUAAGGUCACACAGCCUCCCGAUCCCAGGCACCUCUAGAACUAGGGUGAAGAGCUCAGCUGAGAUGAACCAAGGUCUCAGGACCCCAGAAAAGAUGCUCUCGAAGCCCAAGGACUGUGUCUUCACUCCCUUCCCCGUGAUGGGGACGCCCAACAGGACAGGAAGAGGCCUCAGGACCAGAUCCGGCCCUGUGUCUGCAGGGAGCGGCGGCACCCCCACGGCAGCCUCCCACCCAGCCUUGGGGCCGACUCAUUGGCUGUCUCCUGCAGGACCCUGGCCAGGGCGGCCUCCUCUAGCUGGGUCACCUGCAUGCCCCAGCAACCCCACACAGUGCACCCCAGCCUUGCCCAAACUUGGGGCCAACCUCUCACCUGAACUUGGGUCAUCGGCCCCAACCCCAGAAGCCUUUGGUUUCCCUGCCCUUCCUCUCCCACGGGGCCCCAAACCCCAGACUUGGGACCUGUAAACACCUGUGGGUGCCAAGUGGCGUGCCCGCAGCUCCCUCCCAAGAGACUCUGGGCCCUGGGCUGGGGUCCAAGGGGCUGCUCACCUGGCGGGCCCAGCAGGGGCCCCUUGUCCGACGAGGUCUCCCUCACAUCUCUGCAGAGCCACUUCCUGGCUUCCAGCAGCCACUGACUCUCCACUUGCCCCCAGAAGCUCCAGGCCCAGCCCCCGGGGGCAGGCCUGCUCCCUCUGCCCGCCCACCGCGGCUGCUGAGCAGUGCCCAGCUCAACUUGACUUGUGAGUGAAGACCCGGCCGCCGCCCCCGCUGGGGCCAGGAUGGGGGCAGGACCGGGAGGUCAGGCUUGAGAACCUGCUUUCCACUGAAAGACCACCACUUGCUGAGAGCCCCAGGGAUUCACCCUCUCAAGCUAGGACCACACCCCCUCUAUUCCCGUCUCCUUUGUGGCUGCCUCUGAACCAUCUGAAGCUCUGUGUGGGAGGGUGAAGACUGGGUAGGGCCCAGGAAACUCAAGGAGAAAUACACAGAAACCACCCCACAGGCCACUAGCCUCCUUGGUCCUGUUCCCCAGGACAGGCCACUCCAGGGAAAAAGACAGUCACUUUGCAGUCUGAGCUCUCCCCAGAAACGUCAACAGACGCUAGCAACACCGGGGAGCCCUGUGGGUCCCCCAUGCCUACACCCGUGGGGGCUUCCCCCCACCCUGGCCCCCGGAAUGCCCAUUCAGCUGAGCUGAGGAUGUGGGAACCUUCUCUGGCCCGACAGAGGCUCCAUCCUUCCUGCUGCUGGCUCCCAUUGCCCCUCAGGACUCCACACACUCUUGGGCCUGCAGUGAGAAGCCAAGCCUGCCGCCCGGCCCCCCAGCCUUGCUCCUGUCAGCACAGCCUGGGACAGGAGGAGGGCAGGGGCCGGAAAUAAGCGGGAGUGAGUGGAGGUCGGAGACAGAGCAGAGGAGGGGAGGAGACAGCAACGGGAGAGACAGAACCGAGACACUGAGAGAUACCGUGAAAGAAAAGGAACAACGUAGGAGAAAAAAGAAAAGGAACUCGUGUUAUACUGAGUGAAAGCUAUGUGUCAUGCAAGCGCUCGGCCCCUGUUAAUUAUAACCAUUUGGUUCAUGCAAGCGCUAUCAUUCUUCUUCCCAUUUGGUAGAUAAAGAAACUGAGGCUUGCAGAAGCUGGGUGGGCAUUCUGCUCUUAGAAAAGAGGGCAGGAGAAGGCUGAGAGAGAAAAAAGGAGCAGGCAGGAAAAGGAAAAAUGCUGACCACGAGCAAAGUGGAGGGCUGCAGUGGGAAACAGGCAGAACAGGAGGAAGCAGAGAGGGAUGGGGGAACUGGCUGCUGGCUGACGCCCGGCUCGUGGGAGCGGACCUGAGGUAUUCCUGACCUCUUGUCCUUCCCCUCAGGGCCGUCUGACCGACCAAGCGCAGACACCCUGAGGGCCCUGCAGGUGUGCCAUCCCCUCGCCAGUAAUGAGUCCCCUGAUGCCCACACAUGUGGCUGAUGUCCAGCCUGGAGACUGAAGCCUGUCUCACGGGGGAACAGGCCACAGCAGUCCCACCAUUCCCUUCAAGAGCACACAGCAACACUUAGCCUCAGCCUACACUGGGGCCCUGGGGCUGGAGACGGUUCCAGCUGAACUGAAAGCAAGGGGCAUGGGAUGCAGACUGGGCUCCGCCCGAGAAACGAGUAGGCAACUAGAACUCCAGCGGGGCCAGUGUGCUGCCUGCCCCCAGCGGAAGCCAGACACAAGGUGCAGAACCACUUCUCAAACCAGGUGCAAGGCAGGCGCUCAGGACCAGCACACUGGUGGGGAAGGAAUAUUUGCACCUGGAAGUAAGCUAGAGCAAAACUUACUUCCCAUCAAUUCCGGGACAGUGAACCCACACAGAGCUGACUUCUCCUAACUGCUCAUAGACUGUUGUACUUUGGGGGGAGCAGUUUGGAUCCAAG
ensembl:lncRNA